rnacentral:rRNA from 1 species
GACGAACGCUGGCGGCGUGCUUAACACAUGCAAGUCGAACGGAAAGGCCCUGCUUUUGUGGGGUGCUCGAGUGGCGAACGGGUGAGUAACACGUGAGUAACCUGCCCCUGACUUUGGGAUAACUUCAGGAAACUGGGGCUAAUACCGGAUAGGAGCUCCUGCUGCAUGGUGGGGGUUGGAACGUUUGGGCGGUUGGGGCUGGACUCGGGGUUUAUCAGCUUGUUGGUGGGGUAGUGGCUUACCAAGGCUUUGCCGGAUAGCCGGCCUGAGAGGGGGACCGGCCACAUUGGGACUGAGAUACGGCCCAGACUCCUACGGGAGGCAGCAGUGGGGAAUAUUGCACAAUGGGGGGAAGCCUGAUGCAGCAACGCCGCGUGCGGGAUGACGGCCUUCGGGUUGUAAACCGCUUUCGCCUGUGACGAAGCGUGAGUGACGGUAAUGGGUAAAGAAGCACCGGCUAACUACGUG